GUAGGGAAUAUUGGGCAAUGGUCGGAAGACUGACCCAGCCAUGCCGCGUGCAGGAAGACGGCCCUCUGGGUUGUAAACUGCUUUUAUCUGGGAAGAAAAAGGCCAUGCGUGGCAAAUUGCCGGUACCAGAUGAAUAAGCAUCGGCUAACUCCGUGCCAGCAGCCGCGGUAAUACGGAGGGUGCGAGCGUUGUCCGGAUUUAUUGGGUUUAAAGGGUGCGUAGGCGGCUGAUUAAGUCAGCGAUGAAAGACUUCGGCUUAACCGGGGCAGUGCCGUUGAUACUGGUUGGCUUGAGUGUCGGAGGGGUACAUGGAAUUGAUGGUGUAGCGGUGAAAUGCAUAGAUACCAUCAGGAACACCGAUAGCGAAGGCAUUGUACUGGCCGACAACUGACGCUGAUGCACGAAAGUGUGGGGAUCGAACAGGAUUAGAAACCCGUGUAGUCC
rnacentral:rRNA from 1 species